rnacentral:rRNA from 1 species
AGCGAGUGGGGAAUUUUACACGAAUGGGCGAAAGCCUGAUGUAGCAACGCCGCGUGGAGGAUGAAGGAUUUAGGUUCGUAAACUCCUUUUAUAGGGGAAGAAAUUUGACGGUACCCUAUGAAUAAGCGCCGGCUAACUCCGUGCCAGCAGCCGCGGUAAUACGGGGGGGCGCAAGCGUUACUCGGAAUCACUGGGCGUAAAGGGAGCGUAGGCGUUCUAUUAAGUCUCGAGUGAAAUCCCGCAGCCUAACUGCGGAACUGCUCGGGAAACUGAUAGAAUAGAGUAUGGAAGAGGUAGGUGGAAUUUCCAGUGUAGGGGUAAAAUCCGUAGAUAUUGGAAGGAAUACCAGAAGCGAAGGCGACCUACUGGGACAUUACUGACGCUGAGGCUCGAAAGCGUGGGGAGCAAACAGGAUUAGAUACCCUGGUAGUCCACGCCCUAAACGAUGAACGCUAGUCGUUACAAAGCUAGUCUUUGUAGUGACGCAGCUAACGCAUUAAGCGUUCCGCCUGGGGAGUACGGUCGCAAGAUUAAAACUCAAAGGAAUAGACGGGGAC